UCGAAUGAUGUUUUAGUGUGUAAUCUCUCUCAUUAGAUCCUCGGAUCUAUGUAGAAAAAUUCAUCCAUCACUGA
rnacentral:snoRNA from 1 species